AACGAACGCUGGCGGCAGGCCUAACACAUGCAAGUCGAACGCUCUAGCAAUAGAGAGUGGCAGACGGGUGAGUAACGCGUGGGAACCUUCCCAAUGGUGCAGAAUAGCCCAGGGAAACUUGGGGUAAUACUGCAUAAGCCCUUCGGGGGAAAGAUUUAUCGCCAUUGGAUGGGCCCGCGUCGGAUUAGCUAGUUGGUGAGGUAAUGGCUCACCAAGGCAACGAUCCGUAGCUGGUUUGAGAGAAUGACCAGCCACACUGGGACUGAGACACGGCCCAGACUCCUACGGGAGGCAGCAGUGGGGAAUCUUGGACAAUGGGCGCAAGCCUGAUCCAGCCAUGCCGCGUGAGUGACGAAGGCCUUAGGGUUGUAAAGCUCUUUUGCCGGGGACGAUAAUGACGGUACCCGGAGAAUAAGUCCCGGCUAACUUCGUGCCAGCCGCCGCCGUAA
rnacentral:rRNA from 1 species